rnacentral:piRNA from 1 species
UCUAUUGGAAGGUACCAGAGAUGUGCAGU